rnacentral:rRNA from 1 species
AGAUUGAACGCUGGCGGCAGGCCUAACACAUGCAAGUCGAGCGGUAGAGAGGUGCUUGCAUCUCUUGAGAGCGGCGGACGGGUGAGUAAUGCCUAGGAAUCUGCCUAGUGGGUGGGGGAUAACGUUCGGAAACGGACGCUAAUACCGCAUACGUCCUACGGGAGAAAGCGGGGGACCUUCGGGCCUCGCGCCAUUAGAUGAGCCUAGGUCGGAUUAGCUAGUGGUGAGGUAAUGGCUCACCAAGGCGACGAUCCGUAACUGGUCUGAGAGAUGAUCAGUCACACUGGAACUGACGACACGGUCCAGUACUACCGUAGGGACGCAGCAGGUGGGAAUAGUUGGACUAAGUGGGACGAAAGCCCUAGAUACCCAG